GAUGAACGCUGGCGGCGUGCCUAACACAUGCAAGUCGAGCGUGAUUUAUGAGGACGAAACUUCGGUCUAGGAAUCAUAGUGAAAGCGGCGGACGGGUGAGUAACGCGUAGGCAACCUGCCCUUGACACAGGGAUAGCCUCGGGAAACCGGGAUUAAAACCUGAUGACGCCAAACAGUCACAUGGCUGUUUGGCCAAAGAUUUAUCGGUCAAGGAUGGGCCUGCGUCUGAUUAGUUAGUUGGUGGGGUAACGGCCUACCAAGACGACGAUCAGUAGCCGACCUGAGAGGGUGAUCGGCCACAUUGGAACUGAGACACGGUCCAAACUCCUACGGGGGGCAGCAGUGGGGAAUAUUGCACAAUGGGCGAAAGCCUGAUGCAGCAACGCCGCGUGAGCGAUGAAGGCCUUUGGGUCGUAAAGCUCUGUCCUUGGGGAAGAAACAAAUGACGGUACCCAAGGAGGAAGCCCCGGCUAACUACGUGCCAGCCGCCGCAGUAA
rnacentral:rRNA from 1 species